rnacentral:rRNA from 1 species
AACGAACGCUGGCGGCAUGCCUAACACAUGCAAGUCGAACGAGACCUUCGUGUCUAGUUGCGCACGGGUGCGUAACGCGUGGGAACCUGCCCUUAGGUUCGGAAUAACUCCCCUAAAGGGGUGCUAAUACCGGAUAAUGUCUUCGGACCAAAGAUUUAUCGGCUUUGGAUGGGCCCGCGUUGGAUUAGCCGGUUGGUAGGGUAAAAGCCGACCAAGGCGACGAUCCAUAGCUGGUCUGAGAGGAUGAUCAGCCACACUGGGACUGAGACACGGCCCAGACUCCUACGGGAGGCAGCAGUGGGGAAUAUUGGACAAUGGGCGAAAGCCUGAUCCAGCAAUGCCGGGUGAGUGAUGAAGGCCUUAGGGUUGUAAAGCUCUUUUACCCGGGAUGAUAAUGACAGUACCGGGAGAAUAAGCUCCGGCUAACUCCGUG